rnacentral:rRNA from 1 species
AGAAGCUUGCUUCUCUUGAGAGCGGCGGACGGGUGAGUAAUGCCUAGGAAUCUGCCUGGUAGUGGGGGAUAACGUUCGGAAACGGACGCUAAUACCGCAUACGUCCUACGGGAGAAAGCAGGGGACCUUCGGGCCUUGCGCUAUCAGAUGAGCCUAGGUCGGAUUAGCUAGUUGGUGAGGUAAUGGCUCACCAAGGCGACGAUCCGUAACUGGUCUGAGAGGAUGAUCAGUCACACUGGAACUGAGACACGGUCCAGACUCCUACGGGAGGCAGCAGUGGGGAAUAUUGGACAAUGGGCGAAAGCCUGAUCCAGCCAUGCCGCGUGUGUGAAGAAGGUCUUCGGAUUGUAAAGCACUUUAAGUUGGGAGGAAGGGCAUUAACCUAAUACGUUAGUGUUUUGACGUUACCGACAGAAUAAGCACCGGCUAACUCUGUGCCAGCAGCCGCGGUAAUACAGAGGGUGCAAGCGUUAAUCGGAAUUACUGGGCGUAAAGCGCGCGUAGGUGG